UACUCAACCACAGCAGCUGCAGAGCGCAACGUUCACUGUCACAUUUCCUUCAGUUGUUCAGACAAGAUACUGCACAAUUGGACACUGGAAAUAUUGAGAUUGCAAGAGGCAUACCCACAAGGUCUAGCCCCCCCAUAGAGGACAUGUUGCUGAGUAAGCCAUUCCUUCAACAGCAGACGGUGUGAAGCUCGGUCCAUGAAUGUUGACGAAUCAAUAAGCUCCAAGACCUUGGCCUCAGUACCUCCUUGUGCAACUGGUUCCUGGACUUCCUUACUUGUAGACCCCAGUCAGUUCAGAUUGGCAACACAUCUCCUCCAUGAUCUACAUCAACACAGAUGCACCACAAGACUGUGUACUUUGUCCCCUGCUCUACUCACUUUACAUCUAUGACUGUGUGGCUAAGUACAGUUCCAUUGCCAUAUUCAAGUUUGCUGAUGACACCACAGUUGUGGGCCGAAUCAAAGGUGGUGUUGAAUCAGCUUACGGGAGGGAGAUUGAAAAUUUGACUGAAUGGUGUAGUAACAACUGCAUGUUAGCAAGACCAAGGAAUGUUGACGUCAGGAGAGGGAAAGCAGAGAUUCAUGAGCCAAAUCCUCAUCUGAGGAUCAGAGGUGGAGUGGGUUAGCAACUUUAAAUUCCUGGGUGUUACUAUUUCAGAGGCUCUGUUCUGGACCCCGCACGUAAACGCAUUUGCAAAGAAAGCACGGCAGUGCCUCUACUUCCUUAGGAGUCUGUGGAGACUUGGCAUGACAUCUAAAACUUUGACAAACUUCCAUAGGCGUGUAGUGGAGAGUAUACUGACUGGCUGCAUCACAGCCUGGAAUGGAAACACCAAUGCCUUUGAACAGAGACUCUUACGAAAGCUAAUGGAUUCGUCCCAGUAUAUCAUGGGUAAAGUCAUCCCAACCACUGAGCACGUCUACAUGAAACACUAUUGUAGGAAAGCAGCAUCCACCCACCCAGACCAUGCUCUCUUCUCGCUGCUGCCAUCAGGUAGAAGGUACAAGAGCCUCAGGACUUGCACCACCAGGUCCAAGAACAGUUACUACCUCUCAACCAUCAGGCUCUUGAAUAAAAGGGGAAAACUACACUUACUUGCCCCAUCAUUGAAAUGUUCUCACAGCCAGUGAUCCCACUUUAAGAUACCUUCGAACUCAGACUCAAGAUGGUGAAGUCUGGUUGGUCUUUGAGAUGGAUGAAGACAAAAGAGGUACAUCAAUGAGGAAACUCCAUUGAAGUGCUCCUCAUCUGGAAUCUAGUAGGCCUCAAAACACAAGUGUGCUCCUGAUACAGAAGAAGUUGAUUUCCUGAAGCUCUCCAGGACUCCAGACUCAUAAUUUGUCAGCCAUGUGACAGAGCUGCCAAUCCUUACCUUUGCUGGAACUACAGAAAUUACACAUUGCAGGUAUGUGUCUGGAACAACUAGAGCCUGUGAUUUCCAGUAUGGAGAUCAACUGAAUGAUCCAGCACUCUAGGAAGUUUUCAGGAAGUAGUGGGCCUGAGCUUUGAGGCAAAGAAAGUAUGAGACAAGGCAAUGCUUAGCCACAGAUCUCCCACCUGGCACUUACAAGUGUAAGUGCUACACCUGUCCCUACACCUCCUGUCUUACCACAAUUCAGGGCCACAAACAGUCCUUCCAGAUGAGGCAACACUUCACUUGUGAGUCUGUUGGAGUAAUCUAUUGCAUCCGGUGCUCCUUGGUGUGGCCUCCUCUACAUCGGCGAGACCCAACACAGAUUGGGGGACUGCUUCGUCGAGCUCCUCCGCUCCGUCCGCCACAACAGACAGGAUCUCCCGGUUGCUUCACAUUCCCAUUCGGAUAUGUCCAUACAUGGCCUUCUCUACUGCCAUGAUGAGGCCAAACUCAGGCUGGAGGAGCAACAUCUCAUAUACCGUCUGGGUAGUCUCCAGUCGCUUGGUAAGAACAUUGAAUUCUCCAACUUCUGGAAAUUCCCUCCCCCUCCCUUCCCCCCCCAUCCCAGUUUCACUCUGCCUCCUCCUCCAGCUGCCUAUCACCUCCCUCAUGAUUCCGCUUCCUUCUACUACCCAUAGUGCUUUCCCCUUACAUUCCUUCUUCACCUUUCCUUCAUAUCCCCUCCCCCACCCCUUGUUCUUUCCUCUUACUGGUUUUUCACCUGGCACCUUCCCCCCUUCCCCCACCUUCUUUAUAGGGCCCCUGCCCCCUCCCUUUUCAGUCCUGCCGAAGGGUCUCGGCCCGAAACGUUGACUGGUCAUUUUUAUCGGAUGCUGCCUGACCUGCGGAGUUCCUCCAGCACGUUGUGCAUGUUUCUUAGUCUUCUACUGCUGUUUUCAUUCUAUGACACAUUUUUAUAUUUUGAAGCCUAUAAUCAGUUUAUGUCCUAAUAUGUUAUUCUCCAUUGAGGUGUUUAAACAGUUGAGCCAGGCCUGUUCUAAGAUCCCUGCCCCCUGCCCCCGCCACCCCCAUUCCCAAGUUGAAACAGUCAUCUGCCCCUCCAGUUCAAAUGCAAACCAUCCUGGCGGUACAGGUUCUAUCUGCCCCAAAAGGACCCCAAUGUCCCAUAAACCUAUGCCCCUCUAACCCACAUCAUGAUUUGAGCUACAUCUUAAAUCUUCUAAGCUCCUCAAUCUUACGUAGAAUAGCACGUAGCACAGGCAGAACUUCCGAGAAGACCACCUUGUCAGCUCUGUCCCUAAGCUUCCUACCUAACUCUUUAAAUUUGUCUUGCAGAACUGACAGUCUGCCCUUACCUAUGUGGCAAAUGACUACUGGAUCCACAACAGCUCCGGCCAAGAGCUUAUUUACUCAUCCAGGGAGUUCUCCCACUUGUGCUCCUGAUAAGCAACACACAGUACGAGACUCCCUACCAGUACACACCUGAUUCUCAACCCCCCUCCGAUAAUUGAGAACCCCUACUCUCACAACUUCCUUUUUAUGGUGUUCAGGCUUAGGAUUAGACAGGGUCCUGUGGGGCUCUUCUGCCCUGACUACCACCUCGGAGUAUUCAUGGUCAUUGUUGAGCAUCGCUAGAUUGGGCACUUCCAACUCUGAAGUUGAUGCCCCCGGACAGUGUACACCUCUUACCCUGUGCUUCUGGUCUGCUGUCUCAGCCCAUGGCUCUCUUGGAGUGCACAUUAUCUCCCUAAAGGGAGCUCUGGAGCACAUUUGCCCAUUCUCUACAACACUGCAGGUCAGCUAACUCCUCUUCAAGUUCAGACGCCUUGCUCCUGAGGUGUUGGAUUAGCUGACAAUUCUUGCAUGUGAACUCUCCAGGGAAGCAAUUUUCCAUGAAUCCAUUGUUUGCCGAUUAAAGCAAUGAGGAAGAUUGAAACAUGGAGGUGAAUGUGGAGGGCGAGAGCCGAUGACCUGCCUUCUGAUUGCUGGUGGUAUCGCUCUGCUGCCGAAGAGAGGCUGUGUGGCCUACUGCUGUGCCUGGAGGGUAGGCCUGUUGAUGUAACUGAGGUUUCUGCCUUUAUAGAUCUGGACUAUAGACAAAGAAUUUUUUUCAGUCUUAAUCGUUUUUGAAUUCUCUGUUUUUGCUUGUGCUUUCUCUUUGUUUUGCAGGUUGAUGUUCAGGUGGUGUUUUGUGCAGGGGUAGGGGGAGGUGUGUAAUGCACCAUCAAUAACUCUCUCUGAGAUGUAAAGGCGAGAUAUCAGCUUUUAUUGACUGGAAGAAGGAACAAGCAGUGGUUGACCACCAUACUACAUCCUGGAGACUGAGAGGCCAGGCUCAGGCCUCAAUCGCCUUUAUACAGGGGUCUGUGGGAGGAGCCACAGGAGCAGUCAGCAGGGGGCGUGUCCAGACAGGUAUAUGUAGUUCGCCAUAGUGUAGGGGCUGAUGUUCUGGUGGUGUUUUGUGCAGG